UGUGCUGCAGGUUCUUGCAGAGGGAGUGCCAGCGGCACUUCAGGGCAUGGAGGCCAGCCAGACGGUGAUGACCCAUGACCCCCAGACAUCUGACACCACAGGAAGAGGAGAGGCUGUGGGAAUCCCAAGACGACAAGCCAUGGAGGAACAGAUUUGAGUGCCUGAAUCCUGCAUGGGGAUGCUGAAAUGGACACUCAGCACCAGGAAAAUGUUAUGGUUGUUUCUAUGAAGCAUAGAAAGAGGUACUUACAGCUGCAUGACCAGGCUGCUGUCCUGGAUGACAGGGGACUUCUUGAUGCACUUUAGAGCAAAGAGCUUCCCAGUGAUCCUUUGCUUCACUAGGAAAACUUCUGAAAAAGCACCUCUAUGGAGAAAACACAGAUGAAGGACAAAGG